rnacentral:rRNA from 1 species
ACAGCCGUUGCACACGAGUCAGUCGAUCCUAAGCCCUAGGAGAAAUCCGAUGCAAACGGCGAUGGGAAACGCACUGAACUCAUAUUUUUUGGUGAGACAGAGACCCAUUAAACGGGCGAAAGGGAAUCCGGUUCCUAUUCCGGAACCCGGCAGCGGAACCGUUGUUUGUCGGGCCCUCACAAGGGGUUCGUCAGGGCAACCUAAAAGGGCCCGGAGACGCCGUCGGGGGCCCCGGAAAGAGUUUUCUUUUCUGCAUGUGCGUUCGAGUUCCCUGGAAUCCUCUCGC